GAUUUUUCCCUCACUAAUGUGCUUUAUGUUCCUUCAUUUUCUUUAAAUUUGAUAUCGGUGUCUAAACUGUGUCAAUCACUUGAUUGCACAGUUGAAUUUAAUGGUUCAACUUGUUUCAUACAGGAAAAGAGCACAAGGAGGAUGAUUGGUUCUGGUGACAAAGUUCAAGAAUCGUAUUACUUAGCUUUGCCAAACCAGAUAGUGUGUAGCUCUUAUUCCAAUUCUAUCAUUUUACCAAAUCAUUCUACGUGGCAUUUCAGAUUGAGACGCAUUUCUGUACAAAUCAUGAAUACUUUACAUUCAAAAUUUACUUUCAUUAAUGUUGAUUCUCGUUCUGUGUGUGAUGUAUGCCAUUUAGCUAAGCAGAGGAAACUCACUUUCCCAAAUAUACUUACUAAAACUUUACAACCUUUU